rnacentral:rRNA from 1 species
CAGUUUAACGGCCGCGGUACCCUAACCGUGCGAAGGUAGCAUAAUCACUUGUUUCUUAAAUAGAGACUAGUAUCAACGGCAUCACGAAGACUAUACUGUCUCCCCCCUAAAAUCAAUGAAACUGAUCUCCUCGUGAAGAAGCGAGGAUACACAUAUAAGACGAGAAGACCCCAUGGAGCUUUAAACAAACUUCAAUUGUUCCUACCCAUAACACACAAAUUGAACACCCCUGACAGUUAGUUUUAGGUUGGGGUGACCGCGGAGUAAAACAAAACCUCCACAAUGAAUGUAAUAAAAUUCUUAUAAAAGAAUCACAAUUCUAAUAAUCAAAAAUUUGACAUAAAUUGACCCAAACGCUUGAUCAAUGAACCAAGUUACCCUGGGGAUAACAGCGCAAUCCAUUUUAAGAGCCCAUAUCGACAAAUGGGUUUACGACCUCGAUGUUG